GAUGAACGCUGGCGGCGUGCCUAAUACAUGCAAGUCGAGCGAACGGACGAGAAGCUUGCUUCUCUGAUGUUAGCGGUGGACGGGUGAGUAACACGUGGAUAACCUACCUAUAAGACUGGGAUAACUUCGGGAAACCGGAGCUAAUACCGGAUAAUAUUUUGAACCGCAUGGUUCAAAAGUAAAAGACGGUCUUGCUGUCACUUAUAGAUGGAUCCGCGCUGCACUAGCUAGUUGGUAAGGUAACGGCUUACCAAGGCAACGAUGCAUAGCCGACCUGAGAGGGUGAUCGGCCACACUGGAACUGAGACACGGUCCAGACUCCUACGGGAGGCAGCAGUAGGGAAUCUUCCGCAAUGGGCGAAAGCCUGACGGAGCAACGCCGCGUGAGUGAUGAAGGUCUUCGGAUCGUAAAACUCUGUUAUUAGGGAAGAACAUAUGUGUAAGUAACUGUGCACAUCUUGACGGUACCUAAUCAGAAAGCCACGGCUAACUACGUGCCAGCAGCCGCGGUAAUACGUAGGUGGCAAGCGUUAUCCGGAAUUAUUGGGCGUAAAGCGCGCGUAGGCGGUUUUUUAAGUCUGAUGUGAAAGCCCACGGCUCAACCGUGGAGGGUCAUUGGAAACUGGAAAACUUGAGUGCAGAAGAGGAAAGUGGAAUUCCAUGUGUAGCGGUGAAAUGCGCAGAGAUAUGGAGGAACACCAGUGGCGAAGGCGACUUUCUGGUCUGUAACUGACGCUGAUGUGCGAAAGCGUGGGGAUCAAACAGGAUUAGAUACCCUGGUAGUCCACGCCGUAAACGAUGAGUGCUAAGUGUUAGGGGGUUUCCGCCCCUUAGUGCUGCAGCUAACGCAUUAAGCACUCCGCCUGGGGAGUACGACCGCAAGGUUGAAACUCAAAGGAAUUGACGGGGACCCGCACAAGCGGUGGAGCAUGUGGUUUAAUUCGAAGCAACGCGAAGAACCUUACCAAAUCUUGACAUCCUUUGACAACUCUAGAGAUAGAGCCUUCCCCUUCGGGGGACAAAGUGACAGGUGGUGCAUGGUUGUCGUCAGCUCGUGUCGUGAGAUGUUGGGUUAAGUCCCGCAACGAGCGCAACCCUUAAGCUUAGUUGCCAUCAUUAAGUUGGGCACUCUAAGUUGACUGCCGGUGACAAACCGGAGGAAGGUGGGGAUGACGUCAAAUCAUCAUGCCCCUUAUGAUUUGGGCUACACACGUGCUACAAUGGACAAUACAAAGGGCAGCGAAACCGCGAGGUCAAGCAAAUCCCAUAAAGUUGUUCUCAGUUCGGAUUGUAGUCUGCAACUCGACUACAUGAAGCUGGAAUCGCUAGUAAUCGUAGAUCAGCAUGCUACGGUGAAUACGUUCCCGGGUCU
rnacentral:rRNA from 1 species